rnacentral:lncRNA from 8 species
AUUUCCUAGACUAAAAAUGUAUUUGAAUAUAAAGUUGCUUUUUUCUAAUGCAUAAUUCAACUAAAUAAAUGCAUUUAAUUAUGUAUUUGUCAAUGCCAUGGAAUGGCCAUACAUAGAUUGGUUGAGUUAUACACGCACAACCAGAUACAGCUGGUCGGACUUCUUAACCUGUGACACUACCCGGAAAUAGAAUACAGACCGGAAGCUACCAUUUUAAGGAGAAGAACAUUAGCAGCCGUAGCCCCUAGACGGGUACACAUAAAAUUGACACGGGGCGGAAAAUAUUUGACCGAAGAAAAAUAAUGAAAAUACGACAAAAACUCCAGAAAGGGCUCAUUUGGAAGAGUUAACGAUUCAAGCAUCUGCUUCAAAUAAGAAACAUAUCUGAAUUAGCAGGCCAACCCAGCGGAAAUAGUUUUUGUUAACAACGAGUCGAAAAUAGCCCUCCUGGGCCGAUGGAGAGGCAGGCCUUUGAAAAUAUUUUUCCCUGGAUGAAGAAAAAUGGCAAUCUGACAUAAAAAAAAGGAGGCCGUUGUAGUUAUCACGGCAUUUCCCGCGCACUUUUUAUUAUAUAUUUUUUUCUUUAACCAUUUUGGCAGGGGAUUUGAAUGCUAGAUAUAAUGUUAGCUAAAACGACAGCUAUCAACCUAGUUAUUAUCUUUGUGGCUAGGUUAGCUUAGGAUCAGCUACCUAUGCAACCAGGCGUUCAUACGAGAUUCUAAAUUAUUAGCUAACUAGCUAACAACGACAUGAUUGGAAGACUCCUGUAUUCAAAUCCAAAUAACUUUUUCUUGUUACUUUGGUUGAAAACUGUAGGCAGCCGCCUAUAAAAAACAAAACAAAAAAAGGUAACGUUAGCCUGCUUACGUUAGCUGGCGAAUGACGAACUGCAAAUUUUUUAAUUUUUGCCACCACCUGCAAUUUCUUCUUUUUUUCAAGUUAGUCUAGUUAGCUACCUACCUGAAGAUCAAUGGAAGUAGACCCAUUCGUUUCUACCUGUUCCCCCCUUUUGAUCUUCAUUCAAGAAGAAUGCGCGACACCAGUCUCCAGACCAUAUACAUUCCACCAAACCUGUUGUCUUCGAGAUCGUGACAUCAACGGGCAGACAAAGAAGUGGAACACCUGUUUAUCCUUCAUCUCCCCAGCUGGAUGCUGACAGCUUCACAUUUUUGGUGAAAAAUAGACUACAACUAUAGAAGGAAUCUAAAAACACUACGUAGACUGCAUACUAUUUAUACUUUGUGUUUUAUACAUUGUAUUCCAAAUUAGGAAAAUAAUUUAUUAUUUAAAUGGACCUUUUACCUGCUCUUCUUGGUUGUAACGUGCAAGCAGUAGGCAUUAAUCUGUAUAAGAGGGGAUCAGGGAUAGACAUUGGUAGCAGCGAGUCAUUCUAGAGUUGUUCAUGAAGCAUUACUUCCAGUAGCUGUGGCUAUUGAUAAUUGAUUAUUAUUGGUGGGAUAUUGUUGUGCUUCAACAGUAGGGCGAGUGACCCAGGAACAAC